rnacentral:rRNA from 1 species
CAGCCGCCACGGGAAUACGGAGGGUGCAAGCGUUAAUCGGAAUUACUGGGCGUAAAGCGUGCGUAGGUGGUGGUUUAAGUCCGUUGUGAAAGCCCUGGGCUCAACCUGGGAAUUGCAGUGGAUACUGGGUCACUAGAGUGUGGUAGAGGAUAGUGGAAUUUCCGGUGUAGCAGUGAAAUGCGUAGAGAUCGGAAGGAACAUCUGUGGCGAAGGCGACUAUCUGGGCCAACACUGACACUGAGGCACGAAAGCGUGGGGAGCAAACAGGAUUAGAUACCCCAGUAGUCCCUGUCUCUUAUAA